rnacentral:ncRNA from 2 species
GGCAUUCACCAGGGGAGCCCGGACAACGGGCUGAGAUACUGCUGGCUUUUCGCAGCGCGGUGACCCUUCGAACCUGAUCCAGUUCGUACUGGCGUAGGGAUGGUGCGAUGGCUUUGCA